rnacentral:rRNA from 1 species
GUGAGGAAUUUUCCGCAAUGGGCGAAAGCCUGACGGAGCAAUGCCGCGUGAAGGAUGAAGGCCUAUGGGUUGUAAACUUCUUUUCUCAGAAAAGAAUUAUGACGGUAUCUGAGGAAUAAGCAUCGGCUAACUCUGUGCCAGCAGCCGCGGUAAGACAGAGGAUGCAAGCGUUAUCCGGAAUGAUUGGGCGUAAAGCGUCUGUAGGUUGUUUAAAAAGUAUUCUGUCAAAGAUUAGGGCUUAACCCUAGAUAGGCAGAAUAAACUUUUAAGCUAGAGUUUGGUAGAGGCAGAGGGAAUUCCCGGUGGAGCGGUGAAAUGCGUAGAUAUCGGGAGGAACACCAAAGGCGAAGGCACUCUGCUGGGCCGUAACUGACGCUGAGGAGCGAAAGCGUGGGGAGCGAACAGGAUUAGAAACCCUUGUAGUCC